rnacentral:lncRNA from 1 species
CUGCUGGGAAGUUCAGAUACAGGUUGCACGAAUGUCUAAGGCUAAGGCAUGAGAGGGAGGACCAAGUGAGACAGCAGGUGGGUCAAGAAUGGGAUUCUGGGCUGGGCGUGGUGGCACAUGCCUGUGGUCUCAGCUACUCGGGAGGCUGAGAGGAGUGAGCUGCAGGCAGGAGAGCAGGGUCUGGGGUGAGUCCUGGAAUCACAGUCAGGGGUCUGUCCAGGGCAGUGGGCACUGAUGAGGGCUUACAGAUCCUGGGUUGGAGGAGCAGCUCAGAGCACCUUGUGGGGCAUUUAUCUUCGUCUUCAUGUUUCUGAUUUAGCUUUUUUUUUU